rnacentral:rRNA from 1 species
UACGAGGGGGGCAAGCGUUGUUCGGAAUUAUUGGGCGUAAAGGGCGCGUAGGCGGUUUGGCAAGUUUGGUGUGAAAUCUUCGGGCUCAACUCGAAGUCUGCAUCGAAAACUGCCGGGCUUGAGUAUGGGAGAGGUGAGUGGAAUUUCCGGUGUAGCGGUGAAAUGCGUAGAUAUCGGAAGGAACACCUGUGGCGAAAGCGGCUCACUGGACCACUACUGACGCUGAGGCGCGAAAGCUAGGGGAGCAAACAGGG